AUUGUACUCCCUCCGUUCUGAAUUACUUGUCUCGGAAAUGGAUGUAUCUAGAUGUAUUUUAGUUCUAGGUACAUCCAUUUCCGAGACAAGUAAUUCGGAACGGAGGGAGUACAUC
rnacentral:pre_miRNA from 1 species